AAUGAACGCUGGCGGUGUGCCUAAUACAUGCAAGUCGAACGAACUCUGAAUUUAUUUCAAAGUAAACCGCACUCCAACGGGAGCGGAGAUAUAAAGUUUCUUACGCAUGGCGAAAGCCUAAGUAAGAAAAUUUCAUAUCUCUGCUAGACGUUGGAAUUAAGGAAGAGUUAGUGGCGGACGGGUGAGUAACACGUUAGUACCUGCCCUUUAGUGGGGAAUAACCCGGCGAAAGUCGGGCUAAUACCGCAUGGACCCUUCGGGGUUAAAGCCUUCGGGCGCUAAAGGAGGGGCUUGCGUCUGAUUAGCUAGUUGGUAGGGUAAUGGCCUACCAAGGCUACGAUCAGUAGCUGGUUCGAGAGGAUGACCAGCCACACUGGGACUGAGAUACGGCCCAGACUCCUACGGGAGGCAGCAGUAAGGAUCUCCGCAAUGGACGAAAGUCUGACGGAGCAACACCGCGUGCAGGAU
rnacentral:rRNA from 1 species